rnacentral:rRNA from 1 species
GAUGAACGCUGGCGGCGUGCCUAAUACAUGCAAGUCGAGCGAACGGACGAGAAGCUUGCUUCUCUGAUGUUAGCGGCGGACGGGUGAGUAACACGUGGAUAACCUACCUAUAAGACUGGGAUAACUUCGGGAAACCGGAGCUAAUACCGGAUGAUAUUUUGAACCGCAUGGUUCAAAAGUGAAAGACGGUCUUGCUGUCACUUAUAGAUGGAUCCGCGCUGCAUUAGCUAGUUGGUAAGGUAACGGCUUACCAAGGCAACGAUGCAUAGCCGACCUGAGAGGGUGAUCAGCCACACUGGAACUGAGACACGGUCCAGACUCCUACGGGAGGCAGCAGUAGGGAAUCUUCCGCAAUGGGCGAAAGCCUGACGGAGCAACGCCGCGUGAGUGAUGAAGGUCUUCGGAUCGUAAAACUCUGCUAUUAGGGAAGAACAUAUGUGUAAGUAACUGUGCACAUCUUGACGGUACCUAAUCAGAAAGCCACGGCUAACUACGUG